rnacentral:sRNA from 1 species
GAUCUGUACCUAGCUUGCUGUCUACCCACUUGAUAUCCAAUUGAUUUCUAUAGAAUUAGAUAUUGCUAGCUAUCUAGAUGCCUACCAGCUGGACAUCUAAUAAUUUGUCUAGCCUAACUAGAUAUCUAGCGAUCUAUCAAUAUUUAAUUGAUUGCUUAUGAAAUAGAUACCUAAAUCUAUUCAAGUAGAUAUUUCUCGCUAGCUAGGUAUGUAUCAGCUGGAUACUCACUGCUCUUUAUUGUUUGAUAAUGAAUUUAUUAUAUACAGUGUUAAAAUUGUCUUUCUCAUCAAUGACAAGAUCCAGAUCGAAUUGAGAUGAUCUAGCUCUGUAAGGUGAUGAAUGAUGACAUCUUUUUUAUAUAGAUUUUGUUGGCAUCCCUAUCGCUCGCUAGAAGGCUAUAUGAGCAGUGCUGCACCCGUUAGAUAGUUGCAAUGAAUCAGCCUUCCACCCCCA